AGAGUUUGAUCCUGGCUCAGGAUGAACGCUGGCGGCAUGCCUAACACAUGCAAGUUGGACGAACUUUUAUUUAAAAAAAAUUCAAGUUAAGUAGCGGACGGGUGAGUAACAUCGUAAGAACCUACCUUUAGGAGAGGAAUAACCACUGGAAACGGUGGCUAAUACCUCAUAAGCCGCGGGGUAAAAAGUGAGAACUGCCUAAAGAUGGGCUUGCAUCUGAUUAGCUUGUUGGUAGAUUAAUUGUUUACCAAGGCAAUGAUCAGUAGUUGGUCUAAGAGGAUGAUCAACCACACUGGGACUGAGACACGGCCCAGACCUCUACGGAGGGCAGCAGUGAGGAAUUUUCCGCAAUGGGCGCAAGCCUGACGGAGCAAUGCCGCGUGGAUGAGGAAGGCUUUUGAGUCGUAAAAUUCUUUUCUUAGUGAAGAAAAUAGACGGUAACUGAGGAAUAAGCAUCGGCUAAUUCCGUGCCAGCAGCCGCGGUAAUACGGAAGAUGCAAGCGUUAUUCGGAAUUAUUGGGCGUAAAGCGUCUGUAGGUGGCUUUUUAAGUCUACUGUUAAAUAUCAAGGCUUAACCUUGAAAGAGCGGUAUGAAACUAAAGGCUUGAGUUUAGUAGAGGUAAGGGAAUUCUCGGUGUAGUGGUGAAUGCGUAGAUAUCGGGAAGACACCUGUAGCGAAAGCGCUUUACUGGGCUAGACUGACACUGAGAGACGAAAGCUAG
rnacentral:rRNA from 1 species